GACGAACGCUGGCGGCGUGCUUAACACAUGCAAGUCGAACGGAAAGGCCCUGCUUUUGUGGGGUGCUCGAGUGGCGAACGGGUGAGUAACACGUGAGUAACCUGCCCUUGACUUUGGGAUAACUUCAGGAAACUGGGGCUAAUACCGGAUAGGAGCUCCUGCUGCAUGGUGGGGGUUGGAAAGUUUCGGCGGUUGGGGAUGGACUCGCGGCUUAUCAGCUUGUUGGUGGGGUAGUGGCUUACCAAGGCUUUGACGGGUAGCCGGCCUGAGAGGGUGACCGGGGAGAUGGGGACUGAGAGACGGCGGAGGGUGAUACGGGAGGCAGCAGGGGGGAGUAGGGCACAAGGGGCGGAAGGCUGAAGGAGCAACGCCGCGGGGGGGAUGAGGGGAGUAGGGGUGUGAACCGAUAUCGCCUGGGAAGAAGCGGGAGUGAAGGUAAUGGGUAAAGAAGAACAGGCUAACUACGUG
rnacentral:rRNA from 1 species